GCAGCUUCCCCCGAAUCUUGAAGGGAUUCCAGCGUUCACUCCUGAGCUUGGCUUCAAGUCCUAGAGGGUGUUGGGCGCUUGUUAGCACCAAGGAUGGGAGACAUGACCGUGUGGCUGGCUCCUGUUCUGCUCCUUCUCUUCCUCCCGGGCUCAUUUGACAUCAGGGGUCCAAAAGUGAUGAGAGGUCCAGAGCGGGGCUCGUUGACUGUGCGGUGUCGCUAUGGCCAAGGAUGGAAGACCCACAGGAAGUGGUGGUGUCGAGGAGUUGAUUGGGCUAGCUGCAAGAUCCUUGUUAUAACCACUGGAUCAGAGCAGGAGGUGAAGCGGGACCGUGUGUCCAUCAGGGACGAUCAGAGAAACCUCACGUUCACCGUGACCAUGGAGGAGCUCAGGCGAGACGAUGAAGACACUUACUGGUGUGGGAUUGAGAGAACUGGAACUGACCCGGGAUUCCAAGUUAAAGUGACCAUUGACCCAGCGCCAACUACAGUGUCCGCCAUGUCCACAGCACCAGUCACCCCAGAAGAGACCCGAGUCUCCCCAACUGUGACCAGCCACCACUCCGAGAGCAGAAACAGCAUGCUCAGGGAUCGCCCUUGGUACCUGCCACCUUCUUGGGGCCCCUCAGAAGCCAAGGGCCUGGCAAUCACAGCCACUGCGUGCCAGGCAGGCACACUCAAGUCUCCCUCAGGCAUCUCCUGAUUCUAGACAAACGGAGCUUGAGAAACCACACAGGUCAUUUAGUCCACCCCCCCACACUACACCGGAGGAAACAGGCCAGACAGCAGGCCAGGGCACCCCCUGCCUUGGAGUGACCCCGGUCUCCUGGUUGCCGCCUCCUCCACUUGCAGGGUGACAGCCCCUGAGGAGCCUUGAGGGGACCUGCACCCCAGGUGUCCCUGCCCCAGGUCCAUCGGGGUGGGGAGCUGGGACUCACUUGCAUUUUCCAGACUGCUGGCCCGAGCGCCCCUCUCCACGGUGGGCACCACGACGAGGGCAUCUCUGAGUGUGCCGUGCUGGCACGAUGAGGAAUUCAAGACCUUUGACAAAUACUGACACAGAGAGCCGUGUCGUCAGCCAAGGAAGAAGAAUGAAGACUUUCAGGCCAGAGGCGGUGGCAGGCAGAGGUCGAGUGUGCAUCUCUGAUCGACUUUGGGACUGACCGUCACAGUGACCACGGAGACCCUUCCUGAGAAGGAAGCGGGCAUUGACUGCUCUGGGAUUAGAACAGGACCGCUUAGACGCGGAAAGAGGAUUGCGGCCUCUCCUAUCGGCAAGGGGAGACAGGCGAUUGUCCCAGACACACAGAGAUCACCAGUGUCCCCUGCAGGGAAGCAGCGCCUUGAAAUACAGAAGUCGUGAUGGUGACUUCCAGGCCAGGCCCUAAAUUCUAUCCCCACUGCAUCCUCCACGUUCUCCCUCUUGCGCCCCCUGUUGGCCGGAUGCUGAGAAUCCAGCGGAAGCCCUAGGGGAUGGUGAGGUCAGGUCCUGAGACAGGAGGAGCCCGGACCCGGAAUCAUCUCACGGAGGGCCACCCACCAGACGCCCAGGGGGCGCCUCUGUAAGCCAGAAACCAAGUCUGCUGUGCUGCUCCAAGGGGUGCUGUGCUCUGUCAGAGCAGCGAAACUAGCCAAACGGAGGCUUUUCCCAAACAUCCUCACAACGCGUCAUCAGUAACGAGCGAGAGACAGGUGAGGUGUUUGAAGACUGUGUGUCAGGGCAGAGUCCUCUGAGCGAUGCCUCCCCCAGCCUUCCCUGGAUCCACAGCCGUUCUCCAUCCAUCUCUCCAGAAAAUGAAUUCCGUGCAAGUUCGGCCAGUGGAGGAGGGAACCUAGGAGUCUAACUGCUCCUCGCACAGGCCUUCAGAAGUCCCUCCAGAUUCAGCAAAUUCCUCCUGCAUUCACUCUCACGACCCUGAGAGGAGGUCCACUCUCAAGGUGGCGUGUGGGAACUGCCUGCGUGACCACAGAGCAGCUUGGGUGGGGCUGGGGGUGGGAGCCCCAGCGCCCGGGUCAGGCCUGGUCUGGCUACAGGGAGACGUUGCUCCCAGGACAUCAUCCAGCCCCUUCCAUGAGCAUCGUAUUCUGUGUGGAGUCACAGCCAUGCAGGUGCCCUGCACACAGUGGGGAGAGCCGGGCCUCUGUGCUCUGCACCCUCAGCCCCUGUCACUGCCUCUGUCCCCAGAGCUCCAAAGGACACCUGGCCCCCGUGUUCCCGGCAGUGAGUGCCAGGUGUGCACGAUGUUCAGGACACAUCCACCCGGGCAACCACCAGGGUAAGGGACCUGCUUGUGUGGUUCCUUCCCCGACUGAGGCUCCUCAUUCAUUCACUCAUUCAUUGGAGCACCCCCUGCAUGCCAGGCACUAGUCUAGGCACUGGGUAGACAUCAGUCAGCAAAGCAGAGCAAAUCCUUGCCCUUACAGAGCUGACAUUCCAGUGAGGGGGAGAGUGACCAAAGAAAUCAGUGAUAAGUAGCUGACUAUAAAUGCCAUGAAAAACACAGUAAAGCAGAAGAAAAGGGACAGGGGCUCCUGGGGAUGCGGUGUGGUGGGCAGCAGGCAGUGCUAGUGACGGUGUAUUUUGUACAGGGAAGUAAGGAAGACCAUUCUGAUAAGGUGACACUUGUGGCAGAAAACUGAGGAAGGGGGGUGCCAGCCUAGCAGGGCAAGACAACUCUGGGUCAGUGGAGCAGCGAGUGCAAAGGCCCUGAGGCAGGAGCCCAAAGCAGAAUCCUGACACUCUUCUGGUCAGCAGGACCCCUGGGCUCCCAGAAUCUCUUUCUUCCUCCCUCCCCAUGGCUGUGUAGGAAAUAUCAGGCCGAUUUUAAACAUCUCAGCUCCCUGAGAUGGGAUCAAGGGCUGCUUAGCGGAGGUCUGUUAGGCAUCCAUUCAGAAAGUUCCCGUUGAGUGUUUAUUGGCACCCACGCUAAGCACUCAGCAGUCCCAGGACAACACCGCUGCCCAGGAGGUACACAUGGCACGGUUUUGCCAGGUGCCCAAUAGCUGAGUGUUCAGAUUUGCUGAAGCCAAAUUCCACCAUCACGGAAGACGUUUCUGAGACACAAAAACACACUGGAAACGCUAUCAAGAAGACAUGCACUUAUGGUACAAUUGCGCUAGUUAAUGUGUAGGUAGUUGAGUUUUGUAAGUAAACAUAUGACACAGGAACAACACUCUCAGCAUGGUCAGCGGCCGGCAGUGUUCCUGCGGCUCCAUACGCACGGGGCCUCCAGAGCCGGGCUCACGGCUGAACAAGGGAACCACUCUUGUGCCUCCACCUCCGUGACAAGGCCGUGCCCGCCUUCGCCGGAACAGAAGGCGUUUGAGUCCUGCCUACUUAGCUCCCGAGGGUGCAGUGCUGGCAUGGUCCCUGUAGAAAGCUGAGUAGUCCCAACACCUGGAGCCCGGGAAUAUGGCCUAAUUUGGAAAGAGGGUCUUUGCAGACUUAACUGAACCAAGGAUCUUGCGUUGAGAUCACUUGGAUUAUCCAGGUGGGCCCUAAAUCCAAUGACUUGUGUCCUAAUAAGAGACAGAAGAGAAGAAGACACAGGCAGAAGGGGAGGCCUUCUGUGUGCAGACAGAGGCAGAGACUGGAGUGAUGCUGCCACAAGCCAAGGAGUGCCUGCAGCCACCAGCAGUUGGAAGAGACAAAGCGGGAUUCUCCCUACAGCCUCUGGAGGGAGCUGCCGACUUCUUGAUUUAGGACUUCUGGUCUCCAGAGCUGUGAGAGGAGAAAGGUCUGUGGUUGUAAGUCCCCAGAAUUGUGGCCAUUUGUUUCAGCAUCCCUGGGAAACCAAUACAGGGCCCAAAGGUGGCCCCCUGCCCAGUGGGAACCCCAGGACUGAACAUUGAGCGAGUUAUGGCUGAGGCCACUCUUCCUUCCGGGAACACGGGCCUGGGCCACCCAGUGGCCCUCUGGGGCCAGCCUCUGCAGCCAGACCGGUUCCUUGUUCACUCAGUUGUUCAUUCAACAAACAAGCCUUAAACACCAGCUGAAUGCCCGGUGUAGGCAGCAGGGAGGUUUGUGCUGGACAAACCGGGCAGGACUGUUGUGGUUGCAUGGCUUCCACCCCAGUGAGGGAGGUGGAAGGGCAGGAGCAAAGGAAGAAAUGAACGUGUGACACAGCAUGGGAUGAUCCCGCAGGAAAUAAACGGGGUCCAGUGAUGGAGUGAACAGGGGUGGCCUCUAGGAAGUGUGAUCAGGGGCCACUUCUCUAAGGAGGUGACAUGAGCUGGAAAGGAUGAGGAUGAGCAGGCCAUGGGAAGUGGGAAAGGAGUGCAGGUGCUAGGACCCCCAGGGGAAAGGGCACAGGGGCUAGAGCAUAAGGCUCUGCUCUUGUGGAGGCUGCCGCCUCACCAGGAAACAAAGGCCAUGAUACAGGUCAAUAACAACACAGGUAUUGUCAGAAGCAUCAGACAGAAGCAUCGCAGGUGGCAGGAGCCCAGAAGGGAGGGCUCAGGAAGGCCUGGAGUAGACAGGACACCUUCCAGAGAAGUGGCUUCAGCUCAUCCUUGAGGACUGAGGAGGGAGUGGGGAUGGCCGUCGAGGAGGUGGAAAGAGCAAACACAGUGCUGAGGAGGCAGGGAGAAGCCUGUGGGGUGCCCACCCUACUCCAUCCUACAGACACCCAGCGUUUGCCCUGAGAACGCAUCCCGACGAGAUUUGCGGAAGCCCCCAGAGCUGCCCCCAGGAGCAAGCAUUGAUGGGCUCAAGAGCGCAAGGGAGGGCGCCAGGCUCCCUGUCCUACUGUGUGCGCCUUGCUGCCGGGGCUCAUUAUUCCAGGCCUCCUCUCGCUCUGCCCUCAUGGGCCGGAAGCAUUUUCCAGGACAGGAACCAGGGAGAGGAGGACAAGGGCCUGCUCUGGAGUGGGUAGUCGUUCCAGAUCCUGGUCUUGACAUGGAAAAAUCCUAGGGUGCCCCAGACAUGAGCCACCCCUCAAGGAAUUUGUCGUCUACUGAGGGAGCUGGACAAGUGAUGUGUUGGAGUGUGUACCUCUGAGGGCCUGGUGUGCAUCUGGUUUAAAGUGGGGUCCCCGUGGCAUUGCCAUGUGCAUACGGCCAAAUGUCCUGUCUGUAGCUAAUGAAAAGAAAACGCACACCUGUGUUGCUAAGCCACCCUGCGGCCCCUCCCUUCCUUGCCCUGAGACAAGCAGGAAGCCGUGAGCUUUCUGCGCUGUGGGGUGACCUUCGAGCUGAGCUAACAGAAGCCUUGGAAGGUAGGCUGUGCCGUGAUUGCAAUUACAUGCUGCCCCGCCAUGUAAAAGGAAGAGGAUUGUGCUUCUCCAUCCCUUUGACAUCAGGCUUGGCCAUAGGACUUGCUCUGGCCAAUGAAAUGUGAGCCUAAGUGACCGUGCCCCUUCUGAGCAGAAGCUCUGGGAGCCACUGUGUGGUUCCCCUUCUCGUACUGCAGACAGGGGCCGCUUCUUCUGUCUGGGUCCCCAAGAAAAGUCACCCACUGCAGACAUGUAACAUGAGCGAGAAAUAGAGUUUGUGGUUACACCGUU